GGCCAUUUCUGGAGGCAUCUGGGGCAAAUGACACGAGUCAGUAUUUACUUUCUUGCAUUACGAAGUGGAAGACUAAUGACCGAAGCUUUAAGAACUGGGCAAAUACGAAAACACAAAGUGGACCUGAUUUGGAAGAGGAGGAAGAUCAUAUCACAUCCCCUACAGAUACCAAGACAAAAGGGACGGAGGAAAUAAAUCAUAAAAAAAGAGAAAAUGAAGUUUUAAAAGUUCUCCCCAAAUGGCGAACCCUCUAGAGAUGGUGAAACUGAGGCCCUGGGAGAACUUAAGUGACUUGAAUCCCCUCGGUGAUCAGCAUAGGAUGGAGUGUUUCCGUCUGCAGGGAGUCAUCGUCGCUGCCCUCUGGGGGCUUGGGGAGUUGGGGGGCGGGGAAGGCCACACAGGGCACACUGCCCUCAUUGUGAUUCUUACAUUUUUCUUAUUUCUAGAAGCUAUUUAAUGCACAUGGCACAAAACUUCAGAAGGUACAACUGGUAUAUGAGAGAGAAAGACCCAGCUGAGAACCAGAAGACAGAAGGGACCAACAGUAUCCAGAGAGAGACUGAAUAACAUCGAACAUCCAGUUCCCUAAAAUUCACCUGCUCACCAUAUCUGUAAGAACACAGCUUUGUCCAACCCCAGGCCGGUGCUCGAAGACACUCUUUUUGAGAUGUCUUAUGUUAAGGGUCAGUUGACUUAGUUAUUUAUUAGUGACAACAAAUUUCCUAUACACAAUCCAUGUUGGCAUAAACUAUGCAAGCAAAGAGGUUCCAUCCUAGACCUGCAAAACGCUGGGAGCAUCAUUUUUCUCUCACCGAGAAAAGCUGGCAAAGAAUCUCCCUUUACCUUUUACAUUCAUGAUCUGUGUUUGAAAAUCUUCUCUUUAAAAUGCCUUUUACUUUUCAACUUGUCAUAUUGGAGGGGGCUAUUCACAACACUGUCAGUUUUUAAAAAUAUGGGUAUUUUGGGAAUGUAAGCUGAUGCAGCCACUACGGAAAACAGUAUGGAGGUUCCUUAAAAAACUAAAAAUAGAGCUACCAUAUGAUCCAGCAAUCCCACUCCUGGGCAUAUAUCUGGACAGAACUAUAAUUCAAAAAGAUACAAGAACCCGAAUGUUCAUAGUAGCACUAUUCACAAUAGCCAAGACAUGGAAAUAACCUAAAUGUCCAUCGACAGAUGAAUGGAUAAAGAAGAUGUCGUACAUGUGUACAAUGGAAUAUUACUCAGCCAUAAAAAAGAAUGAAAUAAUGCCAUUUGCAGCAACGUGGAUGGACCUAGAGAUUAUCAUACUAAGUGAAAUAAGUCAAAGACAAAUAUCAUAUACCAUUUAUAUGUGGAAUCUAAAAUAUGACACAAAUGAACUUAUCUAUUAAAUAGAAACAGAUUCACAGACAUAGAGAGCAGACUUGUGGU